CCCUUAGAUGUUCUGGGCCGCACGCGAGCUACACUGAUGCAUUCAACGAGUCUAAAACCUGCUCUGAUAGGGGUGGGUAAUCUUUUGAAUGUGCAUCGUGAUUGGGAUAGAUGAUUGCAAUUUUUCAUCUUCAACGAGGAAUGCCUAGUAAACGCAAGUCAUCAGCUUGCAUUGAUUACGUCCCUGCCCUUUGUACACACCGCCCGUCGCUCCUACCGAUUGAAUGAUCCGAUGAAUAUCAUGGGUUGAGGAUGCAAGUAGGUUCGCCUAUCUUCAUCUUCGAGAAGUGAAGUAAAUCUUAUCAUUUAGAGGAAGGAGAAGUCGUAACA
rnacentral:rRNA from 1 species